rnacentral:rRNA from 1 species
AGUGAACGCUGGCGGUAGGCCUAACACAUGCAAGUCGAACGGCAGCACAGUAAGAGCUUGCUCUUACGGGUGGCGAGUGGCGGACGGGUGAGGAAUACAUCGGAAUCUACUUUUUCGUGGGGGAUAACGUAGGGAAACUUACGCUAAUACCGCAUACGACCUACGGGUGAAAGCAGGGGAUCUUCGGACCUUGCACGAUUGAAUGAGCCGAUGUCGGAUUAGCUAGUUGGCGGGGUAAAGGCCCACCAAGGCGACGAUCCGUAGCUGGUCUGAGAGGAUGAUCAGCCACACUGGAACUGAGACACGGUCCAGACUCCUACGGGAGGCAGCAGUGGGGAAUAUUGGACAAUGGGCGCAAGCCUGAUCCAGCCAUACCGCGUGGGUGAAGAAGGCCUUCGGGUUGUAAAGCUCUUUUGUUGGGAAAGAAAAGCAGCAGGUUAAUACCCCGCUGUUCUGACGGUACCCAAAGAAUAAGCACCGGCUAACUUCAUG